rnacentral:rRNA from 1 species
AGAUUGAACGCUGGCGGCAUGCCUAACACAUGCAAGUCGAACGGUAACAGGUCUUCGGAUGCUGACGAGUGGCGGACGGGUGAGUAAUGCGUAGGAAUCUGUCUUUUAGUGGGGGACAACCCAGGGAAACUUGGGCUAAUACCGCAUGAGCCCUGAGGGGGAAAGCGGGGGAUCUUCGGACCUCGCGCUAAGGGAAGAGCCUACGUCUGAUUAGCUAGUUGGUAGGGUAAAGGCUACCAAGGCGACGAUCAGUAGCUGGUCUGAGAGGACGACCAGCCACACUGGGACUGAGACACGGCCCAGACUCCUACGGGAGGCAGCAGUGGGGAAUUUUUCGCAAUGGGGGCAACCCUGACGAAGCAAUGCCGCGUGGAUGAAGAAGGCCUUCGGGUUGUAAAGUCCUUUCGUGGGGGACGAAAAGGCGGGUCCUAAUACGAUCUGCUGUUGACGUGAACCCAAGAAGAAGCACCGGCUAACUCCGUGCCAGCAGCCGCGGUAAUACGGGGGGUGCAAGCGUUA